rnacentral:lncRNA from 1 species
CAUAUGUAACAAACCUGCACGUUGUGCACAUGUACCCUAGAACUUAAAGUAUAAUAAAAAAAAUUCAAGACCUUGUGUGAAACAAAGAUCUCAAAAUCGCAGGUCACAGCCAAAUGUGACCAAGAUGUAUUUAAGUUGGGGCCAUAUCACAUUUUAAGAAAAUGAACCAGCAUAUUAAAUUUAGUAGGUUUCACAUACAAAUCUAGAUCUCCAGUUUCUCUAGAAAAAUUGUGAAGUCUAGCAGCACCAGGCCUGUGUUCUUGAAUAACAGCAAUCAAUUGAACCAGAUGAUCAGCCUAGUGGUUUGCCAUAGAACUCACUAUUCCCAGGGGCAUUUAUCAUACAGCUUGCAUUUUUUUUCAUUCUGAGUUUAAAAUAUAUUUUUUACCUCUUAUUUAUUUUAUGUUAUAUGCUUACACCAUAGUUCCCUAACCAUACAGAAAGUGUGAUACAUACCUACAAUUGAUUUUUCUCCCAUCCACCCUCUUCUGUAGGCAUCUGAGUUGUCAACCACUGCCCUGAAAACAAUUUUUAGUUAAAUGAGGCUGCACCAGUCCCGUGUAACCACUAGAUGGAGUCUAUUUGGCCUUGCUUGUUUCAGCUGCUCCUCAAUGUUUUGAUAACCUGAUAACCACACCAGAGCUGGUCUACAGACAAAAGGUUUACAGAAUCAAUAGUACGAUUUUCUUUUCCAGUAGUUUUCAGGGCUAAAUGUCACUCUGGUAAAAUUUUCCAUUAUAAUUUGUAAAUCUAAAUAUAUAUGUAUGAGAAUAUGCAUGGGAAAACAUAUGAGUUCAUAAUCACUCAAAUAAAGUAUUAUUGGAACUCCAAAACAGAAGGCAUUUGAUACUGCUAUUUCAGGGUUCACCUAGUUUUUAUCAACUUCAGGUGGAAAAUUAUCAAAGAAGAAAACAGGUAUUAUUUUUAUGGAAUGACAUAUUCUUAUCCUACCAUAAAUGUCUGAGUGUAGAGUUACAAUUUCUAUUAUUAGCAAAAGGGAAAAUAUUUUAAUAUAGGUUGUUUAUAAUAAAUAGUUUUUCAACUGAAGAAAAGUUAACCAUGUGCCGUUCACCCAAUUCACAUUCAUCUUUGCACCUUCUUAAAUUUGUUUUUAAAUUUGUCAAUAACUUGAUGGUUUUACACAAGGAUAGACCAGUAAAAUUGAUUUUCAGUCUGACAUCAAGGGCAAUACAGAUCCCAGGGGAGCAAGGCCAGCUAGCAUGAGGAUACUAUGCUACCAAUGUGUGAAUUACUGGGCUGCGAAGGAAGCCUAGAGGAAAUGAAAAAAUGUAUUUAUUUAGAUAUAACAAUGUGUGACUCUUCCCACUAGAAAUUAGAUGAAUCAUUUUGGUACUAAUUUAAAGCCAUUUUAACACAUAAAUGUCCUGUCAUUGGUUCAAUUUAUGUAGUAUCAGCUGUAUGUCCUAAACUGAGGUUAAGUCUACAGGUACAAAAAUAAGAAGGAAAUGGUUGGUCCUUACACCAAAGAAAUUUGGAGUCUGGAAAAAAAAAAUCACAUACAGGAAUAAUAAUUGUAAAGAAAAUGCAACAACUGAAAUUUAUAUAUUAUAAAAUGGUAUGCACAUAUAUUUGGUUUAUAAAUAACAUAAAUAUAACAUAUAAUGCAUCAGACAGAAGUAAAAGCUUUAAAUUUCAGUUAUAAAAUGAAAACAUAUUGCUAUGAAUAAUGAAAACUAAAUUAAUAAAAAAUUUUAUGUUAUCAUUCUGGAAAAUCUUUCAAAAACAGUCUUUGGGGUAGUAUAACUUUGUGACCAGAUGCUCAUAGCUCAAAUAUAAAGAUUAGUCAAAAUUGGCAAAAAGCUAUGUUCUACAGAACAAAUUAUCACUUGCUUCACAAAUAGCAAGUGUGCUCACCUAAGGAAAAUCAUGCUUGUACGAAAAAAGAUAGUUCCCUAGUUUCCAAAUUGUAGUAAAAAUGCAGUGAUCAUGGGCAACUUCAAAACCACAUCAAAGAAAACUGUAUGAAAAAGCAGACAGGGAAUGCAUAUUUUCAAAAUGCCACAAUGUUACAUUGCAAACCCUGGUCUAAACCGUAACAAAAAAUAAAACUAAUUUAAAAACCAAUUAUAAUAUCUGAGGAAACAGAUUACUAAAAGUAUGGAUAAAUGAAUUGUUCUUGAGAAUAUGUAUAAUUUCCAUAGAAAGAGUUAUAUAAAAUACUUGCACCUUACUUUUAAACAUAUUAAUCAUACACAUUUUUGUUUGUUUUACUUGUACACAUACAGGCAGCCAUUGAAAAGAUUAAAAUUUUAACUACAAUGAACAACUUAUUCUUUAGUCCAUGCAUUAACUAUGCAUUCAGGUAAAUAUCUGUGAAAAUAAUCAGUUAUUCUAAAACUGCUUAAGAUCUGGAAUGAUAGUAAAACUAUCUUUUUUGGAAGAGAAUUUUUCAGGAAUAUAAAUAUUUUCAUAUAACAUAAGAAGCUUCUAGAAAUGUAACAUUUUUAGACAGUUACAAUUUAUUAGAUACAGCAUUGAAAUAAUUUUCAUUGAAGAUGAUAUUAUGCUAAGCCAAUUUAUUUUGAGAUAUGUCUCUUAAAACCAGGAAAGUUAGAGAUGUUAUCUAAAAAAGAAAAAUCUUUCUUUUAAAGAUGAAAACAUUACAUUUACACUUACAAGUAAAAUGUAUUAUUAUUUAUCUAAAACACAGAGGAAUACUUAUUUUAUAUUUAAGAAUCGCAUUGUAUUAAAUUUUUCAAGAACAAUUACAAAACGCUAUCUUACAUUCAAAAUAGUUAUCUGAUAGUGGUCUAGAAAACAUUUACUAGCACAUUUCUUCUCAAAUAAUUUUCUUCAAAUGAAAGAGUAAAUACCAUUACUCAGAAUUAUCAUUUUUCUCAUUACCAGUUUCUUCACACAUGGGUUUCAAUCAAUAUUUAGUCAUUUUCAGACUAUGUAUUCACAAGCAAAGUGAAAUAGAUAAUUAUUUAAUCCCUUUAGUUCAAGCUCAAAAUAAUCAGUAUUUCAAUAAUCUUUGCUUUCAAGACUACUGUGAUUUUCAGACUGUAAUUUCACAGAAAAUUAGUUAAAUCCUGUAUUUCCCUAUGUAUAUGUGCUCAGUCUUGAUAAGGAAUAUUGUCUUCCAUUUCCUUGAUACUUAUGUUAAAAUUUACAAGAAAAUCAUCAGAAUUCAUCACAUCUUGUAAAGCAUAUUUUGUUAAUUUUAAAACAGUAUUUCUGUGUAACAGGCCAUUGUGGACAGAGAAAAUAAUUCUACGUCAAGGAGAAGUCCAAGGUCUAAAAGAAUGGAAAAUGCAAUUGAUGCCUGUUAUUAACACACAACAGGACUAGGGUGCAUGCAAUAAAAAGGAAAGAAAAUACACAGACAAAGAAUAAUUAAGGAUUGCAUCCACUUUUUACCAUUUUAACAUCUCUCCACUAUAGACAUUAAUAAUUGGGUAAUUGUAACUUUCUCCUGCUUUUACUCACUGGAGAGUUGCUGCCAAUAUCUCUAAUCAUCACAGCAUGUGCCAUUUGGCUGAAAAAGUGAAGGCAGUUUAGUAUAGAGAGAGAAAACAUUCAGGAUGAAGUGGGUUGUGAGAUGAACUGGAAAGGCAUGAAGAAACAAUAUUAGACAUGAUACAGAGUCUUGUUAUGCCCAUCGAGUUUAGACUAACCCGAAAAACAAUGUGUAAUAAUUGAAAAAUGUUCAUCCUCUUUAAAAGUAAGUGCUUUCCACAUUCUUAAAAUGUAAUGAUUAUUGCAUAAACUAGAAUCAUUAAUGUAAUGAUUAUUGCAUAAACUCGAUUAUUGCGUAAUAGGGGUAAAAAUAAAUAAGCUUAUUUGAGAAAUAUUAAGAAUGGGGCCACAGUUUGGGUUUUAGCAACUGAUUGGAAAGUGAUGCCAUUCACAUUGGACACGUUUAAAUUUGAGACGCUAGUGGAACAACCAUGUAUAGACACCUACUCGGCAAUCCUGCAUAUGAUCUCAACAUCAGAAGAGAGAUGUGGGCUGAUGACACAGAACUGAGAAUAGCCAGCGUUGCCACUGGGAGUAACCAUCACAUAUGUGGCAAAAAAGGCCAUUGGCGCAGAUAUAAUCACCCAGGCGGGAUGUGUAAAAUGGAAAAAGAAGGCAACCUAGAAGCAGGAUUCAACGUAUCAGAUACAGUAAUGAAGACAAUAAGAAAUUGGAUUGAUCCAGGUCUGGAGUUUUGCCACAGAGUGAAAUGGAACAACAAUAUGCAGGAGAAGUGAGGAUACUGAAUUCUACUUGAAAAUUAUACAGAAACAAUUUCUUAGAAUGCUCACAAAAGACCUGAAAACAUGGGGAGGAAGCAGGGCAUUUACAGGUCUUCUCUGACACUGUGCUGGUGGGCAGGGAGCCACCUCAUUACUACCAGGCACAGGUAUAAGUCCCAAUUAAUCUCCAGGUUCCCUUGAUACCACAUCAGCUGGGGGAUGGCUCAUGAAUGAUGGGUCAGGGUAAUAAUUCAAGCUCCCAAGAGGUUUUUACAACCUUUCAUCCUAGAUGAAAGGAGAAGGGCACUUUGUGACUGCUCCCCCAUACCCUUCAUGUCCUCCCACAUGGCUGGGUGGGAGGACCUUCUUACCUCCUUACCUUAGCCAGAAUGAAAGUUUCAGCUCCCCACAUAAACUAAUCUGACCCCACCAAGGGAGGAGGCAAUGUCUGGGGCACCUUGCUACACCUUGGCAAGAGCAGAAAUCUAGACUCUCCAGCAGGUCUUUACUGGUAAGGAUGAAAUUGAGGCCACACUAUUUUUCUGGAGUGUUUGGCUGGAUUAGGACAGCACUCACCUAAAAGUUUUCUGUCUUGCCAUGCUGUCCCUUUCUUGGUUCUGUAGUCACAGAGAGAAAGUUUUUAUUGGGGCUUUUUAAAAUCUGUGCCUAUUGGUGCUUCUCGGUUGCUAGCUUCUUAAGAACCCAGUGUGGGUUACAAAAAGAAAGAAAAAAAGAAAACCCAGGGAACUCAUGGCCAUGCCAUUCCUCACAUCCCCAAAUUUCCUAGCUGGUUGACCUUCGCUCUACCUUUCAGUCUUCUUAUGUGUGUUUGAUAUACAACAUCCUAGGUUUUUUAUUGUAUUUGGCAGGAAGUAUAUUUUCUCUGUCUUGUCUUGAAAACAGAAGUCUCUAAAUAACAUUUAUCAAUCUUUUACUGUAGUCCAAGACUUCAUAUCAUAUAUGUUAACAAAUUUAAUUUUAAAAAACCUUUCCCUAUGAAGCAGGUAUUAUUAUUAAUCCCAUUUUACAUACAAGGAAACUCAUCACAGCAACUUGCUCAUGAAAGUCUGAUUACAGAACCAAACCCUCAAACAUACAAUACUACUUCUAUAAACAAUACUCAAAAAACUUGAACUUGGAAUUUUUUUUCAAUUGUUGGCAACUUUAGAGUAGUUUAAUAUUGAAAAUAUUAACAACCUAGGAUUUUCUUUUUUAAAAGUACCUUUAGACAAUUUUUUUUUUAAACAAGAGUACCUUUUGGAGGAGGCAAUAUAAAGAUCCAAAUGAGGUAGGUUCUGUAGGCAAUGUUACACAGAACUGCUGCAGGAGAUAGCAAAUCAGCAUGGUCCAGAGGCAGUUACAGGUAAUGAAUCUACCAAUAUAAAUUGGCUAAGCUUAGAGAUUGGUUUACUGCGACUGACUAGACCAAGUGACCUGCAAGAAGCUGCCCAGCUCAAAGAUUUGAUUAUUCUACUAUGACAAGUUUCUUAUUUCAUUUUAAAUAAAAUCAUUCCAGUAAAGGUCAAUUGAAUGCCUUCUAUGUGCUGACUCUCUACUGUUCCUUCUAAAUUCGUGGGCAGGUUUUAAAUGGUUUGUCUCCCCAGAUUAUAAAAGUAACUAAUGCUCACUGUAAAAAUACUAAAAAAUAUACUUUAGAGUAUUUCCUAUUCUUUCUAUAUACAAACACACUUGUUAUGUAGUUUCAUAGUUUGCCUCUGUGUUGAGGACUACAUUACGAGUUUUUCCCAAGGGCCUGAGGAAUUCUCAAAAAUUAUGGUAAUGAUGGCAUAAUAUUCCAUUCAAUGGCUAUUCAAUAAUAAAAUUAAUCCUGUGUUGUUACUAAUUCCCUUUCACAACAUUGUCAUUAUUUUAAAUGAUCCUAGGAUGAUGUUUCCUGCAGACAAAUAUUGGUCACACUGCUUUCUAAUUACAUUAGCAGGCUACGUUCCCACAAUCUAACACAUGUGUGCACAUUAAAAUUGAAUAAUCAAAUUGUUUUCUGGAAAUACUGAAUUAAUCUAUAUUAUCAUCAGCACUCCCUGAAUCUAACAUGAGCAUCUAACUCCUCUCAAUGCAGAUGACUCUCAAUCUUCUCCU